rnacentral:rRNA from 1 species
GACGAACGCUGGCGGCGUGCUUAACACAUGCAAGUCGAACGAUGAAGCCUAGCUUGCUGGGUGGAUUAGUGGCGAACGGGUGAGUAACACGUGAGUAACCUGCCCUGGACUCUGGGAUAACCCCGAGAAAUCGGAGCUAAUACCGGAUAGGACCUUUCCCCGCAUGGGGUUUGGUGGAAAGUUUUUCGGUUUGGGAUGGACUCGCGGCCUAUCAGCUUGUUGGUGAGGUAAUGGCUCACCAAGGCGUCGACGGGUAGCCGGCCUGAGAGGGUGACCGGCCACACUGGGACUGAGACACGGCCCAGACUCCUACGGGAGGCAGCAGUGGGGAAUAUUGCACAAUGGGCGCAAGCCUGAUGCAGCAACGCCGCGUGCGGGAUGACGGCCUUCGGGUUGUAAACCGCUUUUAGUAAGGAAGAAGGGGCUUCGGCCUUGACGGUACUUGCAGAAAAAGGACCGGCUAACUACGUGCCAGCCGCCGCGGUAAAAC